AUACGUAGGUGGCAAGCGUUAAUCGGAUUUACUGGGCGUAAAGCGCGCGUAGGUGGCUAAUUAAGUCAAAUGUGAAAUCCCCGAGCUUAACUUGGGAAUUGCAUUCGAUACUGGUUAGCUAGAGUAUGGGAGAGGAUGGUAGAAUUCCAGGUGUAGCGGUGAAAUGCGUAGAGAUCUGGAGGAAUACCGAUGGCGAAGGCAGCCAUCUGGCCUAAUACUGACACUGAGGUGCGAAAGCAUGGGGAGCAAACAGGAUUAGAUACCCUGGUAGUCCAUGCCGUAAACGAUGUCUACUAGCCGUUGGGGCCCUUGAGGCUUUAGUGGCGCAGCUAACGCGAUAAGUAGACCGCCUGGGGAGUACGGUCGCAAGACUAAAACUCAAAUGAAUUGACGGGG
rnacentral:rRNA from 1 species